GAUGAACGCUAGCUACAGGCUUAACACAUGCAAGUCGAGGGACCGGCGCACGGGUGAGUAACACGUAUCCAACCUGCCCUUUACUCGGGGAUAGCCUUUCGAAAGAAAGAUUAAUACCCGAUAUAAAGGAUGGGGAUGCGUUCCAUUAGGUUGUUGGUGAGGUAACGGCUCACCAAGCCUUCGAUGGAUAGGGGUUCUGAGAGGAAGGUCCCCCACAUUGGAACUGAGACACGGUCCAAACUCCGACGGGAGGCAGAAGUGAGGAAUAUUUGUCAAUGGGCGCUAGCCUGAAGCAGCCAAGCCGCGUGUAUGAAGAAGGCUUCGGGUUGUAAAGUACUUUCAGUCGGGAGGCGUUACCGACAGAAGAAGCACCGGCUAACUCCGUGCCAGCAGCCGCGGGAAUAC
rnacentral:rRNA from 1 species